GCGGCCUUCAUGUGAGAAAGGAGAGACAGCCGCCACCCUGCCUGACUGCUUGCUGGACCGCACACAGGCCCCCUACCCCUCCUCCCCCCUUUGGGCCGGGGGGGUUAUCCCGGUCCCCACUGGAGGACGCUGAGGCGAUCCUCACUAAGACCUGCAGGGCACACUCUGAUGCUCCGAAUUUAAAAUGGCCACCGAACCGCAUCUCCGCCACGCGGCCAAAUGAGAAGCACCUCGAGCAACGCAGGCAACCAGCUAAGGGGCUUCCUGCCCAAGCCGUAAACCAGGCGACUUGACACCCCUGGAGGUGAAAAGCGGAUGAGCCACACUUCCAGCUCUUGACCUUCAGCAGACCACCCACAACACCACAUUAAGGCUGGGAAAGGCAAAGGCAGCUGCUGGGCAGGAAAAGAAAUGAGAGGACAUCACACGUCCAGCAUGGGAGAUAGAUGAAAUGCCUCAUAACACAUUACUCAGCCUCAC